GACGAACGCUGGCGGCGUGCCUAAUACAUGCAAGUGGAACGCACAAGGUGCACCGUAGUUUACUACACCGUACUUUGUGAGUCGCGAACGGGUGAGUAACGCGUAGGUAACCUACCUUUUAGCGGGGGAUAACUAUUGGAAACGAUAGCUAAUACCGCAUAAGAUAUCUUACUGCAUGGUAAGAUAUUAAAAGAUGCAAUUGCAUCACUAAGAGAUGGACCUGCGUUGUAUUAGCUAGUAGGUGAGGUAACGGCUCACCUAGGCGACGAUACAUAGCCGACCUGAGAGGGUGAUCGGCCACACUGGGACUGAGACACGGCCCAGACUCCUACGGGAGGCAGCAGUAGGGAAUCUUCGGCAAUGGGGGGAACCCUGACCGAGCAACGCCGCGUGAGUGAAGAAGGUUUUCGGAUCGUAAAGCUCUGUUGUAAGAGAAGAACGAGUGUGAGAGUGGAAAGU
rnacentral:rRNA from 1 species